CUGAGGGAGCGUCUUGGUGAGUUCCUGGGUGAAGAUGCUAUUGCAGAAAAAUUUUUAUUUCUGAAAUGCAUUGGAAAUAAUUUAGCUGUGGUGAAGGAAAAGCAAGAAUCAGAACUGAAACUCAAAUCAUUUGCUCCUCCAUAUGCUCUUCAACCAGAAUUAUAUUUGCUUCCUGUAAUGGACCAUUUAGGAAAUGUUUAUUCACCAUCAACAGUUAUUUUAGAUGAGCGGCAGACUAAUAAUGGUGUUAAUGAGGCUGAUGGAACAAUCCACAGACCAAUUAGUGUAACUUUGUUCAAGGAGGAACUUGGAAGAGAUCCCAGUUUGUUAGAAAACACUUUGAAAGAGCUUCCUAACAAGAAUCAGGAAGAAGAAAUGAAGACACAUACAGACUCUUAAAGCCUCUUAUAUUAAAAUAUAAACAUUUCAUAUUAAUAAAUAUAGAUCUGUGUCAUUA
rnacentral:lncRNA from 1 species